UACGUAGGGCGUGAGCGUUGUCCGGAAUUAUUGGGCGUAAAGAGCUCGUAGGCGGCUUGUUGCGUCUGCUGUGAAAUCCCGGGGCUUAACCCCGGGCGUGCAGUGGAUACGGGCAGGCUGGAGGCAGGCAGGGGAGAAUGGAAUUCCCGGUGUAGCGGUGAAAUGCGCAGAUAUCGGGAGGAACACCGGUGGCGAAGGCGGUUCUCUGGGCCUGUUCUGACGCUGAGGAGCGAAAGCGUGGGGAGCGAACAGG
rnacentral:rRNA from 1 species